UACAGAGGGUGCAAGCGUUGCUCGGAAUCAUUGGGCGUAAAGGGUAGGUAGGUGGUCUCAUUUGUGUGGGGUGAAAGCCUUGGGCUUAACUCAAGAAGUGCCCCGCAAACGGUGAGACUGGAGUCCUAGAGAGGUUAGCGGAAUUCCCGGUGUAGCGGUGAAAUGCGUAGAGAUCGGGAGGAACACCAGAGGCGAAGGCGGCUAACUGGAUAGGCACUGACACUCAACUACGAAAGCGUGGGGAGCAAACAGG
rnacentral:rRNA from 1 species